rnacentral:rRNA from 1 species
UACGUAAGGCAGCAGUGGGGAAUAUUGCACAAUGGGCGAAAGCCUGAUGCAGCUAUGCCGCGUGUAUGAAGAAGGCCUUAGGGUUGUAAAGUACUUUCAUCGGGGAGGAAAAACAAAACUAAUAAUUUUAUUUCUUGACGUUACCCGAAAAAGAAGCACCGGCUAACUCCGUGCCAGCAGCCGCGGUAAUACGGAGGGUGCUAGCGUUAAUCAGAAUUACUGGGCGUAAAGAGCACGUAGGUGGUUUUUUUAAGUCAGAUGUGAAAUCCCUGGGCUUAACCUAGGAACUGCAUUUUGAAACUGAAAUACUAGAGUAUCGUAGAGGGAGGUAGAAUUCUAGGUGUAGCGGUGAAAUGCGUAGAUAUCUGGAGGAAUACCUGUGGCGAAAGCGGCCUCCUAAACGAAUACUGACACUGAGGUGCGAAAGCGUGGGGAGCAAACAGGGAUUAAUACC